UACGGGGGGAGCAAGCGUUGUUCGGAUUUACUGGGCGUAAAGGGCGCGUAGGCGGCGUGACAAGUCACUUGUGAAAUCUCCGGGCUUAACCCGGAGCGGCCAAGUGAUACUGUCGUGCUAGAGUGCGGAAGGGGCUACUGGAAUUCUCGGUGUAGCGGUGAAAUGCGUAGAUAUCGAGAGGAACACCUGCGGCGAAGGCGGGUUGCUGGGCUGACACUGACGCUGAGGCGCGAAAGCCAGGGGAGCGAACGGG
rnacentral:rRNA from 1 species